AAAGAUUAAGCCAUGCAUGUCUAAGUAUAAACAAAUUUGUACUGUGAAACUGCGAAUGGCUCAUUAAAUCAGUUAUAGUUUAUUUGAUGGUGCUUUGCUACAUGGAUAACUGUGGUAAUUCUAGAGCUAAUACAUGCAAUCAAGCCCCGACUUUUGGGAGGGGUGUAUUUAUUAGAUAAAAAACCAACGCGGUUCGCCGCCCCACUGGUGAUUCAUAAUAACUUCUCGAAUCGCAUGGCCUUGUGCCGGCGAUGCUUCAUUCAAAUAUCUGCCCUAUCAACUUUCGAUGGUAGGACAGAGGCCUACCAUGGUUU
rnacentral:rRNA from 1 species